rnacentral:piRNA from 1 species
AACAUGCAUGAUCUCCCCAUAGCUAAGGCCA